rnacentral:rRNA from 1 species
UGCGUAACGCGUAUGCAAUCUGCCUCUAACUAAGGGAUAGCCCAGAGAAAUUUGGAUUAAUACCUUAUAAUAUUGUAGUUCGGCAUCUUAUUACAAUUAAAACUCCGGUGGUUAGAGAUGAGCAUGCGUCCUAUUAGCUUGUUGGUAAGGUAACGGCUUACCAAGGCAACGAUAGGUAGGGGGCCUGAAAGGGUGAUCCCCCACACUGGUACUGAGACACGGACCAGACUCCUACGGGAGGCAGCAGUGAGGAAUAUUGCGCAAUGGAUGAAAGUCUGACGCAGCCAUGCCGCGUGCAGGAAGACGGCCCUACGGGUUGUAAACUGCUUUUAUACAGGAAGAAACUUCAAUACGUGUAUUGAACUGACGGUACUGUAUGAAUAAGCACCGGCUAACUCCGUGCCAGCAGCCGCGGUAAUACGGAGGGUGCAAGCGUUAUCCGGAUUUAUUAGGUUUGAAGGGUCCGCAGGCGGGAUUUUAAGUCAGUGGUGAAAGCCUACAGCUCACCUGUAGAACUGCCAUUGAUACUGAAAUCCUUGAG